AGGUUUAGAAAAGAAAUUAUCAAAUAAUAUUUCUAAUAAGAAAUGGAUAUUUUUCAAUUUUGCCUUAGCUUAAGGUUGCUCUAUGUCAUGGUUCAAAUUCAGUGUUCAAUAACUUAUUGCCUAAAUGUACAAUGAUCUAUCUGGUCCCCUCAAUGAGGCCAGAAGAAAAGAAUAAACUGGUAAAAAGGGGGCUAAGAUCCUCCAAGAACUGAGUUUGUGUUCCAGCUCUAUCACUUACUUUUGAUUAUCUGUGGGCAAUUUAUGUAAUGUAUUUUAAAUUAUGUUUUCCAUACCAGUAACAGGGACACAAUAAUUUACAUCCUGCAUAUCUUGAGACUAAAUGAGUCAGUAUGUAUAACAGAACUUUGUGGUGCUUUACAAAUUGUAAUAUUGAUGUGUUUUUGACUCAGCAGGCCCUGUUGACUGGAGGGUGGCCAUUUGAUAACACAGAUUCUUUCCUGAGGAGACUUUGGCUUCUGGUGACUUGGGUCCCGGGCAGGUUCCAGAACUUGCAUCUAACUCUCCCAUUGUGCAGACCUGAGUUGAUCUAUGUCACAACUGAAGCCCCAGGCCACCAGAAUUCACAGGUGAUUUCACAGCCUACAGUUCUCUGAACUGGUCCUUCCCAGAACCUUUGGCCUCUGAUAACUCCAAUGAUUUCCCUUACUCUUUCCAACAUAGGCAUGCAUUUACAUGUGUUUUUCAUUUUGUAUCUACUACUUUUAGGUGCUUUGUAGCAGGAUAGUUUUUCAGGAUAUUUACUCUGCCAAUGCUGAUGGAAAAGGAAGUCUCUGUCUACUCCUCACCUUCCUGUAACCCAGUUUUGCCCCUAGCAGUUUACAGAUUCUAUUCCUGCUAAGGUCACCAGUGACAUUGUAAUUCCUAAAUAAAUACUCAUCAGGCCUUUUCUCACUCUGUAGCUUUCGAAACCCUUGUCUACUCUUUCCAUGAAUCACCAUUCUCCCUUGUAUUAUCUCAUACUAUUACACAGACGUGCAUAACGCCCCCACCGCCACACACACACACACACACACACACACACACACACUACCUUGGCAUUUGCCAUUAUCAGCUGUUAGGAUGCUAUUUUCACACUUCCUUACUUCCUAAA
rnacentral:lncRNA from 1 species